UUCUCCAAGAAACCAUAGCACAUAUAGCCUGAGAACUCACAUCAAGCUGAAGCUGGGAUUCCAAGAGGCACUGGCACAGGGCUCACAAUGCACAGCAAUCAAAUGUCAACCUGAAGGGUCUCCCAUUCAGAUAGACGCACCCUAGGACAAUGAGCUAACUGCUGCCCGAGGAACCCGUUCAAUCAGGAAACAAUGAGUAUGGUGGCAAAACUGAUUAUGUGUCUUGCAACAGUUUCCCUUGGGCCUUCACAAGGACUGGAAGCCAUGCUGUGAUCACAGGGGAGAUGGUGGAGUUGAUCAGGUGUAUGGUCCCAAGAGUCAUAAAGGAACACAAACCGGAACAGCAAAUGAACAGGACCUGCUGUCCAAGGGGUCUCCAAUCCCUGUGGAAGAGUUGGAAAGAUUUUGGUCUCCUAGAGCCCCAUAAAACUGAUGGAUGACCUCUGGGCCUGGAACGAACAGCCUCUCAACUUUAUUCCAACUUUAAAAGCAUCGUAGAGAAGGGGAGUGGAGAAUGAAAAUCCCUUUGCUGCAGCACUGUCAGCCCCUUAGUUUUCCUUCAAGUCUGACAGGCCCAGGAUGAAAGGUUUGGUGACAGCGGCCUGACAGUGCACAUCAACAGCUUUGAAUGUCUUAACAACCCAGCUACUGGAGAUGCAUUCCGAAGAAUCUGUGAACUGCUUUUCCCCUUUAGAGCUCUUGCUAGCCCAUGUUGUCCAGUGAAAUCUUUUGUAGUUAAAAAUGUGUAGAACUUUUUUUUAAUGCCUGUGUGCAUACGAACACAAAAUGCUUUAAUCCAUUUCCUUGGUUUUUUUUUUUAUGUCUGGCUUUCCUUGAAUUGCGUUUCUGCCUUAAAAGUUUCCUUCUUAGACAACAUGGUGAAUUUUUAUCCUUUAAUUUUAUUUUAAAGCCAUAACUCCACUCAGUUGAGCUAAACUGAUCUACUCCAGCUGAGGAUCUGGCCAUAUGUAUGAGACAUGCAAAAUGAGUUUUUAGUCAAAGGAAAAGGAAUCUAUGAUCACACAGCACUCCAGUUCUUGGAAUUUGCAUCAUAAAAUAUAAUUCACUAGCCAUUACAUUUGCAUAUGUCUUGAACUGAUGGUCAUUGAUUGCAAUAACCAUGGUAUGUCAUUAUUUGUGAUACAAAAUAAUUAAGUUUACAUGGUGUGUCCAGUCAUUGGCAGGAGUGUAGAUAUGUUUCUAUUGCUUCAGUUUCCAGGCAGCAAACACAGUUUGAUUAAUUGAUUUAGUAGGGAAUUUUUGUAGUGUCAUAGGUAAUAUCUAGAAAUAACGGAGUAGCUCUGAAAUCUGAAGGUUCAUUCGACUGAGUACCUCAGAUCUGGAUGUUUUCUCCACUUUUGGAUCUGCAGAAUUGAAGUGGAAAAUCUCAUGAGAAGAAGGAUUUCUUACU